GCUCACUGGAUGUCAGAGCUUGGUCUGAAGGCAGGGUGGCCCAGGGAUCCAGGUGGAGAAUCUGUGGCAAGAGACAUUGGAAUGGUGGUAGGAGGGCAGUGGGGGAGUAUGUUAUAUCCAGAAACACCAGAACUUGUCUGCCUUGCCCCAUCCUCACAACCCUCCUUUGACAUACUUUAGCUCUUUUCAUUUUAUCUGCUUUGGGUUGUCCUCUACUUGCACCCUCAACCUUGGAGUGCCAGUCUCUGAGUAAGUUGGCUGGUUCCAGGCCUGGUUUUACUUGGGGAGGGCUGCACAUCAGGAUGCAGUAACUGCUUUUAAGGCUCACUCACUUACCUCCUUCUUCUCCUCACUUCCCCUUUAGCAUUGCUUCCUCUCCUAGCAUGAGGCUGCUUUCAACUCUCAGGUGCCAGAAACCUGUGAUCCAGCCAGGGCAUACCCUCUGCUCACACUGCCACCAGUUGGCACCCAGAACGUUCCACUCCACCAUUCUCUGUCCCUCCCCAACCAUGCAUAAAGGAAAAGCACACACACACACGUGUUAUUAAAAUGAACUGUUUAUAUUAUCUCAGUUGAGUCAAUACAUUAUAAUGUAUUAAAAUGGAAAGGUACAAAAUUGAAAUAAAUACUUUCUGAUUCAUGUAUAAAUCUUUUUUUUUUGUCAAGAUGACUUUUUUUUUCUUCAGUACAUGUCACAAGAAAACAUUUAAAAUGACACCGAAACAAUCAUUGAAAUCAUGGUGCAUGGAGGAAAAAGCCACUUCUCUACAUGGUCUGCACUUACAAUAGAUACAUUCAUUAUUGUCCAAGGGAAGACAGCGACUGCCUUUCAUUUUAAAGAGCUCGGUGGAGAGGCUGAAGAAAUUUGCUGCAGCUGAAGUUUAAUGAAUGCAGAUGGCCAGCAUCCUAUCUGUUCUGAAAAGAUUGCAAGCCACAGGUUGACAACAACAGAAUCUGGAGCUUAAAGAACGAAUCCGGGGCACCCUAUGACAACCUGUUCUACUGUUUAGUAAGUUGUAAGAUUUGGAACUGCCAUCUUCUGAAUUUCCACUCAGAUAAGCUGAGAAUCUGAGGUCUAUAUUUAAGGCCAAGCCACAUUUUGAAUGGGAAAAUCAGUGCAUGGCAAGCCCAACAACUUGUGAAGUGGAAGGUAAAAAAUCUCUACCAUAUCGGAACACCAUUUCAAUUUCAGGGUGGUGCUGUUGAGAAACCACAGAAGAAGAAACAAAGCCAGCAGAACAGCCGUUUUCAGAACUUUGAGAAGGCAAGUCUACGUGCUGUGUCCUUUACCUCUCUUCCAGUCUAUUCUUUUAAGAAGAUACGGAACACAGCACAAGUCCCAACAGCUUCCUGCGUG